rnacentral:rRNA from 1 species
UUCCCGAAUUUAAAAGAGCUAUAUAUUUUAUUGUAAUAAAUAUUUAAAAUAUGAAAUGAAACGUUAAUAUAUCUGGUUUUUUAAGAUAAUUUAAUUUUCUUAUAUUUUAAGGGAUGAGCUUUAAAUAGGAUUAAAAGUUUUGUUAUAAUUUGAUUAUUAAAAUUUUUUAUUAAAUUUAAUAAUUAAUAAUGGUUGAAUUAGUAUAAGGUUAAAAAAAGUAAUUCGGCAAAUAUUUUUCACCUGUUUAUUAAAAACAUGGCUUCUAGGUUAUAAUUAGAGGUCGAGCCUGCCCACUGAGGCCGCGGUACUCUGACCGUGCAAAGGUAGCAUAAUAAUUAGUUUUUUAAUUGAAAGCUGGAAUGAAUGGUUUUAUGAAAAAAUAACUGUCUCUUUUUAAUAAAAUUUUAUCUUUAGGUUAAAAAGCUUAAAUUUAAUUGAAAGACGAGAAGACCCUAUAGAGUUUUAUUUUGAUUGGGGCGAUUGAAAAAUUAAAUUAACUUUUGAUUACAAGAAUAAAUUACCUUAGGGAUAACAGCGUAAUCUUUUUUAGAGUUCAAAUCGAAAAGGGGGGUUGCGACCUCGA